UAAACUUGUAAAUUCACAUAUUUAAGGGAGGAAAUAUUGGCAUCCAUCUUUCAGGAAGUCUUGAGCAGACUGGGCUCUGUGGGCAUAGGAAAGAGGGGUAAGCUGAAGGAGGGUUGAAAAAUUUGACCAAAUAAUGGCUACAUGCAAAGCACUGAGCUGGGUGCUGUAUCCACCCUCUACCUGGGUACUGAGCCUCCCCACUCCUCUGCACUCAUCCAUAGGUCCACCCUGGGCAUCAAUUUUCUCCUUGUCCCUUCUGCUCCAGGUGCUUAGAACUUUCCUCUUACUCCUGGUCUGGCCUCUGUUUCACCAGAGCCCCUGGGCUGCCAGAUGGUCAACAAGGGUCCACCUGACUUCAAACACAUACAAACUUUCCACAGCAGGGACACAGCUUCUGCCAACUCAGGCACAACUAGUAUGACAGACAUGUUUGUUGAACCAAUGCUCUUACUGCAGAGCACCCCACCAAUGGAGGAUCUCCACACCUGGGGGUUGGAGCAGCUUGUGAGUGAUGGAUUUUCAGACAGAACACUUUAUCCACUGCCUAACUCAAUUCUGCGGAAUACUCUCCUGAAAGUGAAGCCAAAGACAUGCCCUUCCAGAGGCAGGGAACUCUUCUGCCUGUGCUCUCUGGCAGUGAGUCUGGCUUGCUGAUGUUCUCCCUGCUGAAACCUGAGUGUUCUCAUUCACACCUGCCACUCAACUGAAGUGGGUUCCAGAGCUUCCA
rnacentral:lncRNA from 1 species